rnacentral:rRNA from 1 species
GAUGAACGCUGGCGGCGUGCCUAAUACAUGCAAGUCGAGCGAAUGGAUUAAGAGCUUGCUCUUAUGAAGUUAGCGGCGGACGGGUGAGUAACACGUGGGUAACCUGCCCAUAAGACUGAGAUAACUCCGGGAAACCGGGGCUAAUACCGGAUAACAUUUUGAACCGCAUGGUUCGAGAUUGAAAGGCGGCUUCGGGUGUCACUUAUGGAUGGACCCGCGUCGCAUUAGCUAGUUGGUGAGGUAACGGCUCACCAAGGCAACGAGGCGUAGCCGACCUGAGAGGGUGAUCGGCCACACUGGGACUGAGACACGGCCCAGACUCCUACGGGAGGCAGCAGUAGGGAAUCUUCCGCAAUGGACGAAAGUCUGACGGAGCAACGCCGCGUGAGUGAUGAAGGCUUUCGGGUCGUAAAACUCUGUUGUUAGGGAAGAACAAGUGCUAGUUGAAUAAGCUGACACCUUGACGGUACCUAACCAGAAAGCCACGGCUAACUACGUGCCAGCAGCCGCGGUAA